UUUGAAAGAAACAGCCACGGUUUGCAUGGUGUUCCAUGGUUUGUUUCUACCUUGCUGUGCAUGACCUCCACUGCUAAGGUCAUUUAUGGCCCAAGAUGAUUACUCCAGCUCCAGCCAUCACAUCUGUAUUCCAUCCUGCAGAAAGGAAGAAAGAAGAAAAAGACAAGGCCCUGCUCUGAGGAGUGAAGACACAAUCCAGCAGGCAGGAGGGAUGGCUAAGUUCAAAGUCUUGAGAAGUGCCCCUCAUGGACACCCCAGGGUGCCCAUCUCCAGGUUACCACCAGGUGCUUCCAAGACCAAGAUAACCAGGCAAUCAUAGUAGAUGCAUCAAUGCACCCUUGCCCAAGGGCCUAGACAAGAGGUAUUGUUUAGCUUCGCAUGAAUUUUAUCACCUUGCCUAGAACCAGCCACCAUCUGCCAGGGCUCCUGACUUUUUCUGAAAUGAAUAGACACUAAAGCCUGCUGGGGAAUUUCAUGGAAAUCAAGAUGACUCAACCCAGAGUCCAUUUCAAGGCUAGGAUGCUAGAGGACGCCAACAAAGGAGUAGGGAAGUGAAACGGAUCAGCUCACAUCCAAGCCCUUGCAUGAUCAAUCCUGCAGUAGGAGUGCUGCUCAGUUGGGACUCAUGAGAGCCCGGAAGAGGAAAAAGCAGCUCUAAGCAUAGCAAAGAAGCUGUUAUGGAAAAGACCCAAAUGUUAAAAUGGUGGACAUAGUAAAGUGAUUGGUUCUGCUUAGGGGAAUCUAGAUCCCCACAUUUUGACCUCCACUGGAGUCUCAGAAGAACAAGUGCCAGGGGGGCUUGCCACAGAGGCCAAGGCAGUGAAUGUCAGGCACAUCACAGUCCCCAAGAUGGGGAGAAGACUGAGAUGCAGGGUAACAACUGCAAUCCAUUCAUGGGAGCCAUGUUUAUCUUAAAUCAUUGACAGUGAGAUAAGGAUCAUGUCAGCCUUCAUACCUUUGAUGAUGAUCCCAGGCUGCAACAGUGACACAUAGAACUGGAUUCAGUAACUAACUACAGAUUCCAUCAACCAGGACUAGUAAAGUGAAAGGCAGAAAUUGGGAGGAGGGGUUUCUUUCUUGCUUAUAAAACUUUAUUUGGUUGUGUUGAGUAUGUGCAUGUAUGUAUGAAAUCCCAUAAAGCAGUCUUCUUAGGAACAAGCCAACAUGCCACAAUGUAGGAGAUCUUUGGAGCACUGGCCUAAAUGGCAGAGAGCUCAAGGGACUCUGCUUUGUACAAGGCAUGAUUUGUACCACCACCACUAUCCCUGUUUCAGAGCACUGUUGAAUUGUUCCAAACCUGGAUUUCUAUGUCAGCUCCCUGUCUAUAGUACUUGACUGAUAAAUGCUAGUUUCUGAAAUCUGCUUUGGUUCUAUAAUUUAUUAGACAGCUUUUUCUUCCCAUUUUAUUACUUGUUUUUACUGUCAUUGGUAUAUUAUCUCUUACAGUGAAAACAUUCAUAGGCUGAUUGAAGAGAAGAUCUGAAAUUAUUAGGCAGCAAGCAUACAAAACCCUUGCUUUAUAAAGAUAAUAUCUUAAAGGCCUAAUGUCUAUGGUUCAAAGCAGCCUGGAGAUGUUGGCUAAAUCUUCCAUCAUAGAGUCCUCAUGGGAUCUGGAAGCUCUGAUUUAUCUUCCUUCAGGCCCUAUAAGUUAGCUUUCCACAUCUGUAGGUUCCACAAUCAACCUUGGAUCAAAAACAUUUGAAA
rnacentral:lncRNA from 1 species